rnacentral:pre_miRNA from 1 species
UCUUAUGGAUGAACAAAGCAAGUAGUUGAUUGAGAUGGAAUCUGCUCCUGGUGAAGAUGCUGUGAA